rnacentral:rRNA from 1 species
UACGUAGGGUGCGAGCGUUGUCCGGAAUUAUUGGGCGUAAAGAGCUCGUAGGCGGUGUGUCACGGUCGGCCGUCGAAAACCUGCAGCUUAACUGUGGGCGUGCGGUCGAUACGGGCAUCACUGGAGUUCGGCAGGGGAGACUGGAAUUCCUGGUGUAGCGGUGAAAUGCGCAGAUAUCAGGAGGAACACCGGUGGCGAAGGCGGGUCUCUGGGCCGAUACUGACGCUGAGGAGCGAAAGCGUGGGGAGCAAACAGG